UACGGAGGGUGCAAGCGUUGUCCGGAUUUACUGGGCGUAAAGAGCGCGCAGGCGGUCGUUCAAGUCGCGUGUGAAAGCCCCUGGCUCAACUGGGGAAGUGCACCCGAAACUGAGUGGCUUGAGUGCGAAAGAGGGUCGCGGAAUUCCCGGUGUAGAGGUGAAAUUCGUAGAUAUCGGGAGGAACACCGGUGGCGAAGGCGGCGACCUGGGCCGGUUCUGACGCUGAUGCGCGAAAGCGUGGGUAGCAAACAGG
rnacentral:rRNA from 1 species